rnacentral:lncRNA from 1 species
GUCCUAGGGAGGGAGCUAUAGGCACCCUCAUGGCUGGCGCCCAGCAGGACCGAGAGGUGAACCUGGCCAACCUCCUGUGAGGGCUUGUAGGUUGCCAGACUUUACACUGAAUGAGCCUGCAGUCCUCACAGACGAGCUGCAGAUGAGUGCCCACGAGGUGGCAGCACUGAGCAGCAAGUCCUUGCAGGAAGAUGGAACCAGUCAAGACUUCUGGCUGUUCCAGGCCCUGAAGAUUUCUUCGGCAGCAUCCAGUGUGCUGUCUUUCUAGAAAUAAAAUAAUUGCAUCGUUACAUACCACCAUAAAUUCAAGAUAUUGCAGUAUUUAAAUAUAGAAGGCAUAGCUGGGUGCUUGUGGCACCCAACUUUAGAAAAACCCAUUGAAGAUAAAAACCAUACUAGCAAUACCCCCAAACUUAAGAGAAUGUAUAGUCUUAGACGAAGAAGCAAUAUCAAAGUAAAAACAGAAAUGUGGAAACUAAAAGGGGAGGGGUGGGAAGUUGGCUCAGUGGUUAGGGUGUGUACUGUUUGCAGAGAAAUCAUGUUCCUAGCACCCCAGGUGAGUGACUCACAAAACUUCCUAAAACUCCACCUCCCGGGGAUCUGAUGACCUCUUCUGUUAUACAUGAGUUUGUACACACACAAACAUAUUUUAAAAAACUAAACAAAAAUCUAGA